GACGAACGCUGGCGGCGUGCCUAACACAUGCAAGUCGAACGGAGUAGAGAGCUUCGGUUUUCUGCUUAGUGGCGAACGGGUGAGUAACGCGUGAGAAACCUGCCUUUCAGUGGGGGACAACAGUUGGAAACGACUGCUAAUACCGCGUAAUGUUUCGAGAGGGCAUCCUUUUGAAACCAAAGCUUUAUGUGCUGAAAGAUGGUCUCGCGUCUGAUUAGCUAGUUGGUGAGGUAACGGCUCACCAAGGCGACGAUCAGUAGCCGGUCUGAGAGGAUGAACGGCCACAUUGGGACUGAGAUACGGCCCAGACUCCUACGGGAGGCAGCAGUGGGGAAUAUUGGGCAAUGGGGGAAACCCUGACCCAGCAACGCCGCGUGAAGGAAGAAGGCCUUCGGGUUGUAAACUUCUUUUACCAGGGACGAAGAACGUGACGGUACCUGGAGAAAAAGCAACGGCUAACUACGUGCCAGCCGCCGCGGUAAAAC
rnacentral:rRNA from 1 species